UACGAAGGGAGCUAGCGUUGUUCGGAAUCACUGGGCGUAAAGCGCACGUAGGCGGAUGUGUCAGUCAGGGGUGAAAUCCCGGAGCUCAACUUCGGAACUGCCUUUGAUACAGCACGUCUUGAGUCCGAUAGAGGUGGGUGGAAUUCCUAGUGUAGAGGUGAAAUUCGUAGAUAUUAGGAAGAACACCGGUGGCGAAGGCGGCCCACUGGAUCGGUACUGACGCUGAGGAGCGAAAGCGUGGGGAGCGAACAGG
rnacentral:rRNA from 1 species